AUUGAACGCUGGCGGCAGGCUUAACACAUGCAAGUCGAGCGAGUGGCGGACGGGUGAGUAAUGUCUGGGAAACUGCCUGAUAGAGGGGGAUAACUACUGGAAACGGUAGCUAAUACCGCAUACCAUCAGAUGUGCCCAGAUGGGAUUCGCUAGUAGGUGGGGUAAUGGCUCACCUAGGCGACGAUCCCUAGCUGGUCUGAGAGGAUGACCAGCCACACUGGAACUGAGACACGGUCCAGACUCCUACGGGAGGCAGCAGUGGGGAAUAUUGGACAAUGGGCGCAAGCCUGAUGCAGCCAUGCCGCGUGUAUGAAGAAGGCCUUCGGGUUGUAAAGCACUUUUAGCGGGGAGGCGUUACGCGCAGAAUAAGCACCGGCUAACUCCGUGCCAGCCGCCGCGGUAAUAC
rnacentral:rRNA from 1 species